rnacentral:rRNA from 1 species
UACGAAGGGGACUAGCGUUGUUCGGAAUCACUGGGCGUAAAGCGCACGUAGGCGGAUUUGUUAGUCAGGGGUGAAAUCCCGGGGCUCAACCUCGGAACUGCCUUUGAUACUGCAAGUCUCGAGUCCGAUAGAGGUGGGUGGAAUUCCUAGUGUAGAGGUGAAAUUCGUAGAUAUUAGGAAGAACACCGGUGGCGAAGGCGGCCCACUGGAUCGGUACUGACGCUGAGGUGCGAAAGCGUGGGGAGCAAACAGG